rnacentral:rRNA from 1 species
GAUGAACGCUGGCGGCGUGCUUAACACAUGCAAGUCGAACGAGGAUUUAACGGAAUGCGAUUCGUCAAAUGAAGUUAAAUCCGAGUGGCGGACGGGUGAGUAACGCGUGGAUAACCUGCCUCACACAGGGGGACAACAGUUGGAAACGACUGCUAAUACCGCAUAACACAAGCAAUCCGCUAUGAGAUGGACCCGCGUCGCAUUAGCUAGUUGGUGAGGUAACGGCUCACCAAGGCGACGAUGCGUAGCCGACCUGAGAGGGUGAUCGGCCACAUUGGGACUGAGAUACGGCCCAGACUCCUACGGGAGGCAGCAGUGGGGAAUAUUGCACAAUGGGGGAAACCCUGAUGCAGCAACGCCGCGUGAGUGAUGACGGUCUUCGGAUUGUAAAGCUCUGUCUUUAGGGACGAUAAUGACGGUACCUAAGGAGGAAGCCACGGCUAACUACGUG